rnacentral:rRNA from 1 species
UACGUAGGGGGCAAGCGUUAUCCGGAUUUACUGGGUGUAAAGGGAGCGUAGACGGUUAUGUAAGUCUGGAGUGAAAGCCCGGGGCCCAACCCCGGGACUGCUUUGGAAACUGUGUAACUGGAGUACAGGAGGGGCAGGCGGAAUUCCUGGUGUAGCGGUGAAAUGCGUAGAUAUCAGGAGGAACACCGGCGGCGAAGGCGGCCUGCUGGACUGAAACUGACGUUGAGGCUCGAAAGCGUGGGGAGCAA